rnacentral:rRNA from 1 species
AUGCGGCACCUCCUCCUCUCCCGUCUCCUCCGCCGCGCCUCCUCCCCCUCCCAGCCUCACCACAACCUCCAACUCAUCCGUGCUCUCUCCUCCUCCUCCCCUCUCCCGGCCUCCGACACCGACCUCCGCAAGUACGCCGGCUACGCGCUCCUCGUCCUCGGCUGCGGCGCCGCCACCUACUACUCCUUCCCCUUCCCACCCGACGCGCUCCACAAGAAGGCCGUCCCCUUCAAGUACGCGCCCCUCCCCGACGACCUCCACACCGUCUCCAACUGGAGCGGCACUCACGAGGUCCACACCCGCGUCCUCCUCCAGCCCGACUCCAUCCCGGCGCUCGAGGAUGCCCUCGCCACAGCCCACAGGGAGCGACGCAGGCUCAGGCCCCUCGGCUCCGGGCUGUCCCCCAAUGGCCUCGGGCUCUCCCGGGCCGGCAUGGUCAACCUUGCGCUCAUGGACAAGGUGCUAGACGUCGAUGUCAAGAAGAAGACCGUCACGGUGCAGGCUGGGAUACGUGUCGCCGAGCUCGUCGAUGCGCUCAGCAAGCAUGGGCUCACACUGCAGAACUUUGCCUCCAUUCGAGAGCAGCAGGUCGGCGGCAUCAUUCAGGUUGGUGCCCAUGGUACUGGUGCGAGAUUGCCUCCAAUUGAUGAGCAGGUUAUUAGCAUGAAACUGGUUACUCCUGCCAAAGGGACGAUAGAGUUAUCAAGGGAGAAAAAUCCUGAUUUAUUUUAUCUUGCCCGCUGUGGACUUGGUGGCCUAGGAGUCGUUGCAGAAGUUACUCUUCAGUGUGUAGAAAGACACCAACUUGUUGAGCAUACUUUUGUUUCUAAUGCAGAUGAAAUCAAGAAAAACCACCAGAAUUGGCUUUCUGAAAACAAACAUAUCAAAUACUUGUGGAUUCCAUAUACUGAUACAGUUGUCGUUGUCCAAUGUAAUCCUCCUUCAAGAUGGAAAACUCCAAAGUUGGCAUCAAAAUAUGUAAAGGAUGAAGCCCUACAGCAUGUUCGUGACCUUUACCGAGAGUCAUUGAAGAAAUAUAGCUUGAGACUUUGUUGUGGCUCGUACAGAAAGGCAUGGGGGGCCGUGAUGUUUGUAGGAAGAGUCGCAUAUGCCAUAAGUUAUACAAGAAGUGUCAGAACUGAAGCCGACAGUAAAGACCCAGCGAUAGAUCAACUUUCAUUUACUGAAUUGAGGGAUCAAUUGCUCGCCCUUGAUCCUCUGGAUAAAGAUCAUGUGAUCAGAAUUAAUAAAGCAGAAGCUGAGUAUUGGAAGAAGUCUGAGGGAUAUCGCAUGUGCUGGAGUGAUGAAAUACUAGGUUUUGAUUGUGGUGGGCAGCAGUGGGUUUCUGAAACCUGCUUCCCUACAGGAACUCUAGCGAAGCCAAACAUGAAGGAUUUAUAUUAUAUGGAGGAGUUGCUACAGUUGAUUGAGGAGGAGGAUAUACCUGCACCUGCACCUAUUGAGCAGCGUUGGACUGCCCACAGCAGGAGCCCCAUGAGUCCGGCAUCAAGCUCUGAAGAAGAUGACAUAUUUUCAUGGGUUGGUAUAAUAAUGUAUUUACCAACAUCGGAUCCUCGCCAAAGGAAGGAUAUUACCGAGGAGUUCUUCAACUACAGAAGUCUGACGCAAACUAGUCUCUGGGAUGAUUAUUCUGCAUAUGAACACUGGGCUAAAAUUGAGGUUCCGAAGGACAAGGAUGAACUUGCUCAACUGCAGGCUAGGUUGCGGAAACGCUUCCCCGUUGACGCAUAUAACAAGGCGCGCAUGGAGCUGGACCCUAACAAGGUUCUCUCCAGUGCCAAGUUAGAGAAGUUUUUCCCAGGAAUGCAGACUGUCCAACAUGCAAGGUAA